CUGUACUUCCGCGCGCCUCUACAUUUGAACUUGGCGCGCGCGCCCAACCUCUAACCUUCCUUUCAACAGCUACACUACUCCCUUCACUGCUCCCCUCCCCUUCCGGGAGGAUGGCUUGCUCCGACCUCCCUCCUUUCUCUGCUGCCGGAGCCGCUUCCCCUGACACACUGAAACCUCCACCCCCUUCGCUGCACUCUGGCGGGGAGACUGGUCCUGACACCCAGCUGCCACUUUGGGAUGCCCAGCUGGCACCCUGCUCCUGACACGUCCCCCCUGGGGCUCCCCUGGGCUUGACCACCGGCGCCCCCUUCUGGGAAUCCUCUGAUUCGCUGGAAAGACUCAUGGAAUCUCUUGAGUCAUUGUCAUCCUCUUCCUCGCUGUCCUGGGAUUCAUCCCCAUCGCUCUCCAUCUCCUGCCUACCCUGUGCCUCUGUCCCUGAACCCCUGACACAUUCAUUCUAAAAUUAAUUCAAAAUCCAAUUAAUGGCAACCAUUGGGCUAGAGUUCUAUGAGGAUUACCAAAGGAGGGAGUCAAGCUGUGCCUUGGCCAAAGGCCUGGUGGAACAGCUCUGUCUUGCAGGCCCUGGGGAAAGAUGUCAAGUCCCGCAGGGCCCUAGUCCCUUGUGACGGAGCGUUCCACCAGAUUGGGGCCACGGCCGAAAAAGCCCUGGCUCUGGUUGAAGCCAGCCUAACCUCCCUAUGGCCCAGGACCUCCAAGAUGUUUUCGUUUGAAGACCAUAAGGUCCUCCGUGGGACAUACCAGGAGAGGCAGUCCCGUAGGUACGAGGGUCCUAGGCCCAAUAGGGCUUUAAAGGUUAAAACCCGCACUUAAAACCUGAUCCUGUACUCCACCGGGAGCCAGUGCAGCUGGUACAGCACCGGGUGAAUGUGAUCCCGCAGCGAGGACCCCGUAAGGAGUCUCGCUGCGGCAUUCUGCACCCGCUGGAGUUUCCGGGUCAGUCUGAAGGGCAGCCCCACGUAGAGUGAGUCACAAUAAUCAAGUCUGGAGGUGACUGUUGCGUGGAUCACAGUGGCUAGGUCAGGGCGAGAGAGGCAAGGAGCCAACUGCUUAGCUUGGCAGAGAUGGAAAAAUGCCGCCUUUGUUAUAGCUAGAAGAUAUAGCUAUAUCUAGAAGGAAAACUCAUCCUCAACCUCCCCUGCCUUGUGGGAUAUCUUCAGGAGAAAAGGCUAAGGAGUAAACCCUAUAAGAAUCAAGAGUGGAGUCCCUAAGACGGUUGGAUUGCACCUUGUACGCCUCAUUCCGUCUACUCCUGCAGCCAAGCUGGUGCCAAACAUAUCACUCUGCUUUCCUUUGGACCACAUCAGCGAGGCCAAGAGGGUGGUCUUACCAUCUGGGCAGCCCAGGACCUCCAGGCUUGUGCCUUGGGGAGCUGCCUAAUGCAGCGAUUUCAUCAUCAUCAUCAAACCUUUUAUUGGCAUCACAUACAAACAUCCCAAACAAAUCAAUACAGAAUUACCACUUCCCCAGUGGCACAAAACAUUUGCUAAAAGAAAGGAGGCAGAGCAGUCUUAUCAUCACAUCUCUUGGUCUCCAGGGAGAUCAGACGUCGGCAGUGUAUUUCAACGACAAAAAACCAAAUAGAGAUAUUUAGCCACUAACUUGGUGAGCUCCUGAUCAUUCCCCAGUAAUAGAAAAUGUAUGACCUCCGACUCUGGUUUCCAUUUGGGGAUACUGUACAGAGUUGAUCUAGAAAUUGCUGACGGAGAUCAGCAUAUAGUUUACAAUUGAGAACCAUAGGUGUAAGGGUUUCCACCAGGUGGUCUUCACAUGGACAAGUUCUUUCUCCUUCCACCCUGCCUGAGAACCUUCCCCAAAGGAGGUUGGAUGGAUUUGAAUUAAACCUGGCCAGCGAAAAUGCCCUCUUUCUUGAGGGUUAAGCAGAAGUUCAAGGUAAUUAUGGUUAGUUUCAUGUGCCCAAGAAAGUUGAAAAUAAAGAGGGGAGCAUGUUUUCUCUGCUGCUACUGUUAGUUCCUGGCGUUCAAUAUCCCACAACCUAGUUUUUAUUAUAGCCUUGGCAGAUGGUAGGGACAUCGAUCGCAAAAGUUCCACCGACAGCCCACGUUGCUGUACCUUCUUGUUAAACUGUUGUAGCCCUGGGGAAAGAAAGGGGUCUAACAAAACUUCACUGAGGAGAGGAUCUUUAUCAGAUGUAAGGCAGAUGUUUAACCAGCAUAGGAGAAAUCUCACCCAGGCGAUAAUCUCUACCUUGCGUUGACCUCCCUUUAGGUACAAGGCUGCAUAGGGUACACAGUGGGGGACAGUAAAAAUCUUGAAGAGGAAAGCUGCCUGCCCUCGUUCUACCAGAUGGGUAAACCCUGGCAGCCAGACUGGAAUACCAUAGAGCAACUGAGCUAUAAUUUUGGCGUUGAAGACCUUAAGGGCAGAAGGGAUAUGCGAAUUACAUCGUUAUGAAAAAGCACAUUAUGGCCUGCAUAGACAUCUUACUGGCAUUCACCGAACACAGCUAUUUGACUUCACUCCGUUGUCUCUUGAGACAGGCACAUGCCAAUAACAGUUGGGGCAGAAGUCCUCAAAAGUGACAAGGCCACAAAACAGUGUUUCUGGUUUCUCUGCUGAAAGGCCUGCACACUUUUAGAGGUCUUUGCCCUAUCCAGUGAAACACCAAUUACCCAAUUUCCCCUGGUCAGCAGGUGGAUUACUGUAUUUUUCGCUCGAUAAGACACACCAGACCAUAAGACGCACCUAGUUUUUGGAGGAGGAAAGCAAGAAAAAAAAUAUUCUGAAUCUCAGAAGCUAGAACCACAAGAGGGAUCGCUGCACAGCAAAAGCAGUGAUCCCUCUUGCUGUUCUGGCUUCUGGGAUAGAUGCGCAGCCUGCAUUCGCUCCAUAAGACGCACACACAUUUCCCCUUACUUUUUAGGAGGGAAAAAGUGAGUCUUAUAGAGCAAAAAAUACGGUAGUCAUCAUACCAAAAUGAACAGAGGACUGUUGCUUAUUGUGGCAAUAGUAUAAUAAUACUUGAGUGUCUUUCGCUUUUUUUAUUUAGGAAAAAUUGAAAUUGCAAAACAUCACCGAUUUGUCACCGUGAGAGGACUAACCAGCACAGGAAUGAAGAAUGAGAUAUCCGUGGCUUUUCAGAUGGGCACUGUGCCACUUUUCAGACAAACUCCCAACUCCCUUUGGCUCCUGCCUGCUGUCAGGGAAGAUGGACAUUGCCAUGUAACAACAACUAGACGGCCCAUCCUUGCCUAAUUAAAUGAGUGGUUCCCCAUUGGGAUGUACUUAAGAGAGAGAAAGUAGGAAUAAAUGGAAAUUAUGAAUAGGUGAGAAAUCUUGCUGUCAAAUCAUACAGAGGACAGACAGGAGACAAGACUCACACAUUUCCCCUGCUACUGCCGUCAUCACCCUGCACUUCCCUGUGUCAGGAGUCCCAUGUUUUUCAAUGAAACAACAUAGUACCAAGGACAGAACUCCUUUUCCUGAUAACCCCAGCUCCCAGCAAGUUUCUAGCAGUUAAGCUGUGAUCUUGCGCUCCAAACUGUGAGCAACGCCUGUUGAAAUUUCAGAAGCCUGAUGGGUGGCUGAGUAAGAAGGAAUAAUGGUUAAUGGCAGAAUUUCAUUGCUUGCAUAGUUCCAUUACUGAG